rnacentral:lncRNA from 1 species
GGAAGUGACUGGAUGUGGAGAGGAGUGUAUCCGCGAAGGAACGCACAAGUGGCCUGACCUGCAGAAGAACGCUAGCUAGGCACUAGGCAUGCCGGCAAGGUCAGCUGAGAGCUGACCCCAGUGCAACGUGGAGGAGUUUGGUUGGGGCAGUCGGAGGAGCACCUGGGCCGCCAAGCGGCCAGACUUCGGGGGAAAGCCAUCUCUCUUCUGGCGCCUUUAUCGGCAGAGAGCUACUUGUACUCAAAACCUUGCACUCAUUCUCCAAGCCCACGUGGGUAAGAUUCACCCACACUGCGGAGGGCGUCGGAGCUCCACAGCCUGCCUGUCUGUAUGCUCCCAUAGAGGUUUGAGCAGCGGGGCACUGGAGAAGCAAGUCACACCCCCAUUGCACGCCAUGGGAGUAGGACAAGCUCUGCUUUCUUACCAAAUCCUUGACAUUACAAUGGCCAUGUGACCUUUGGUGUGGACAGUAUGAUAAAGCAUCAAGAUUCUCUUGAGACACUUUGGAGGAUAUCAUGCUACAUUGUACAGAUAAGGUAGGAGAAGGAAAC